rnacentral:rRNA from 1 species
GACGAACGCUGGCGGCGUGCUUAACACAUGCAAGUCGAACGGUGAAGCGCCUUCCUUUUUGGUGGGUGUGGAUGAGUGGCGAACGGGUGAGUAACACGUGAGUAACCUGCCCCCUUCUUCUGGAUAACCGCAUGAAAGUGUGGCUAAUACGGGAUAUUCUGGGUCUGUCGCAUGAUGGGUCUGGGAAAGAUAUUGUUUCGGUGGGGGAUGGGCUCGCGGCCUAGCAGCUUGUUGGUGGGGUGAUGGCCUACCAAGGCGGUGAGGGGUAGCCGGCCUGAGAGGGUGGGCGGUCCCACUGGGACUGAGACACGGCCCAGACUCCUACGGGAGGCAGCAGUGGGGAAUAUUGCACAAUGGGCGCAAGCCUGAUGCAGCGACGCCGCGUGAGGGAUGGAGGCCUUCGGGUUGUGAACCUCUUUCGCCAGUGAAGCAGGCCUGCCUCGUUUGUGGGUGGGUUGACGGUAGCUGGAGAAGAAGCGCCGGCUAACUACGUG